rnacentral:rRNA from 1 species
GUACGGGGGGGGCAAGCGUUGUUCGGAAUUACUGGGCGUAAAGGGCUCGUAGGCGGCCAACUAAGUCAUACGUGAAAUCCCCCGGCUUAACCGGGGAACUGCGUCUGAUACUGGAUGGCUUGAGUUCGGGAGAGGGAUGCGGAAUUCCAGGUGUAGCGGUGAAAUGCGUAGAUAUCUGGAGGAACACCGGUGGCGAAGGCGGCAUCCUGGACCGAUACUGACGCUGAGGAGCGAAAGCCAGGGGAGCAAACGGGG